rnacentral:rRNA from 1 species
AUGGGGUUUACGCCACGAGCUCUCACAACCACAACCCUAAAAGUCAGCCACACUAUUACAAAACAAGCGAUCAAACUUCAGAACCAAGAACAUUGUCUACUUCAGCAUGGUAUAGUAUGCAAGAAGAACUUUCAGAAACGAGUAUUGCUUGCUGACCGAUUAUCGCUACAUAUUAGCUCAGAAUCUUCCUCGGUAUCACGCAACCACUACUCAACACGACAUGCUUCUAUCAACAUCGACAGGAGGGAAUUGGCUGCAAAAAGUGCAAAUAAAAACACCCAAGAAUCACCUCCCUUGCUAGGUACACUGCAAUGUAAAAAAUAA